rnacentral:lncRNA from 1 species
AACAUUAUGGAUACAACUGAGUUGGGUUUGUGGAGCAGCCGUGCUUUACUUUCAAGAUACCAACUUCCAGUCAAAGGCUUGGCACGUGGCUGGCAGGCUGUUCCAUUGCACGACUCCCAGUGCUGGAGGAGGCAGCACUGUACUGAGUGGGUCACUUCUCCCACUCACUCCGACCAGCAACCUGAGUGCAGAGGUAGACUCCUGACCAGUGAGACAUGAGGCCAGCAGAUCUGGGACUACAGGGCAGAGGACUCCCAGAAUUCUAGGUGAUGAAAACAACCUCCUGGGCAGCAAGGCUAUCUCCAAGUGGAGGGCCUUAGCUAUGGGAGCCUCCUCCUGGCAGUGUUUGGGUCUUCGCUGUUGGCUCCCUGCUUGCUCAGCCCAGCAUUGCUGGCUGCACAGAGAGAUGGUGCCAUGUGACAUUCACCUGAUGAAGGCCUACCUCCCUAGCUCCUGCAGAACAUCUACCCCCGAAAGCAAGACUGACUGGAACACAGCCUCCUGUGAUGAUGUCCCUUCCUCUCCCAGGGUCCCACAGACACAAUUCCUCAACGCUUGCUGGACUACAUUUUGAGAUUGUUUUGGUUCACUGUGCCAAGGGAUAUUGGCACAGCUCUGAACACGCUUUCUGUGAUGACUGAUUGGUGUUCAUCUUGUGGCCAUCCUAGGUGAAGAGAAGGCCAGGUGUCUAGGGAUGAAGUCCAUCCAGCCCAUGGCAGCAAGUUUCAUGAUGGAGCACACAUUGUUAGGGCACACACAGAGAUGUUCCAGAAAGCCUCUUUGAAGAAGCUCAGACUUAUCCCUAGCACAGGAUGAUGUGAGAAGCCUUUCAAGUUUGGUUUUCUUCCCUGAAGAUCCUUUCUUGUGUGGUGCUGCUCUCAUAGAGAACCUGAACUUGGUUCUCAAAGCCCAAAUAGUGAGUUUAAUGUUGCUGUUGUCUAACAAGUCAGUUUGUG